rnacentral:tRNA from 1 species
GGGGAUGUAGCUCUGUUGUAGAGUACUUGUCUAGCAAGCAUGAGGCUCUGGAUUUGAAACCUAGCACUUCUA